CCUACGGGAGGCAGCAGUGGGGAAUAUUGCACAAUGGGGGGAACCCUGAUGCAGCGACGCCGCGUGAGUGAAGAAGUUUUUCGGUAUGUAAAGUUCUAUUGGCAGGGAAGAUAAUGACGGUAUCUCACUAAUACGCCCCGGCUAACUCCGUGCCAGCCGCCGCGGUAAUACGGAGGGGGCAAGCGUUAUCCGGAUUCACUGGGUGUAAAGGGUGCGUAGGCGGGAGUGUAAGUCAGAUGUGAAAGCCUGGGGCCCAACCCCGGAACUGCAUUUGAAACUAUGCGGCUAGAGUGUAGGAGAGGUAGGCGGAAUUCCUGGUGUAGCGGUGAAAUGCGUAGAUAUUAGGAGGAACACGAGUGGCGAAGGCGACCUACUGGAAUGUAACUGACGCUGAGGCACGAAAGCGUGGGGAGCAAACAGGAUUAGAUACCCGAGUAGUC
rnacentral:rRNA from 1 species